GUUCGUGUAACAUGGCCCUAAACAAGGGAUUUUCAGUAACUACUAAGUAUUUUCAUAAAGUAAAAAAUAAUGAUCACUCGGAAUAAUUUCAUUUUAACAUCGGCCUAUUCGACUAAUAUUGAUAAUGACUAAACAUUUGUCGAAACCAUCGAUAUUAAAUUCAAAAUAAUGAAAUUGUUCGGAAUUACCAUUGUUUUGUACUUUACUAAAAAAGAAGCUGCGCAAAAAAAAAUUCACACAUUUAAUGUAGUCGAAAAUCUUUAUACCCUGAAGAAAUCUUUCCUGUUAUUUAUAGAAAUCUUUUCUUUUCUAGUUACUAGAAAGAAACCCUAAGUCACUGAGAAUGUUGCAUAAACGUCGUUUCAGUCAAAUAAUUGCGUUAAAAAAUCACCAGCCUGGUUAUGGAACAAUUGCACCUUCACCGUCAUCAGUAAUAUUAGUCGAUCUAUCAGACGAUGGCAUAGACACCUCUCAAGAUCGAGUUUAAAUUAUUUUUCUUUAGUAAUUGUGAAGAAAUAAGUCUGAUACCAGUUGCUCGUUUCUUGUGCUAGGUCCUCGGGUCACACUACAGGGCAUUUUUUAACUAUAUAACUACUGAGGUAUUUACCCCAGUAGGCUUUCUGCUUGCCUCAGUAGUGAAGCAAGAUUGCCAAAUGUGCUGGGCCCUUUCUAAACAGACCUCGUUGAGAAACCUGCCUAUACUUCUUUUAUUCUCUACCGUUGUUGACAUUCUGUCUAUAUAUGUCAGUACAGAUAUACCCAGUAGUAGUAAUGUGCCCCAGUAGUUGUAAUGGCUUAGAAAAUGCCUUGUCAUAUUACUAAGCUACUUUACAAGCGAAAAUAUGAGAACGAUAACCGUUGUGAUUAAAACUGAUAAUACAACAUGUUACAGUUCAUUACCAUGGAGAUGCAACUCAGUAGCUAGUAUACUUCGUGAAAUACUUAUGGUGCGAACCAAAGCUGUACUUAAUGCAAAUGAGCGCGCUAUAAUGUCCGCCCGCGCACGAAUUAUCGUCAUUAUUAUUUAUGGCUUUAUUGACAAAUAGACACAACAUACGUCUGCUUUUCCAAGAUUUCAAAUCUGGUAAAAUUAUUUACAGUGAUAUGAUAAAUAUUAUUUAAUAUUGAUUUACAUUUAUAUUUAAUUGUUUAUAAGAGUAAUUAAAAAUAAUUGAAAAGUCUGCGGCAAUAUCUUGCAUGUAGUUAUAAACUCAGCUGAAAUUAGGACUCCAUUUUUUUCAAGAUUGCAUCUGGUGAAGUUAACUAUGAUGCCUCAUUUCCUGUGUAAACAAGUAUUACUGCAAAUAUCUAGCAGUAAAGCAAGCGUGAAACUCUUGAUGGGAACAUCUAAAGGAAAAGAGAAGCAACACCUUUUAUGAAUGAAGUGCUUUAGGAGUGCAAUCACAGAAUAAGAACUUACAGAAGAACGACUCAGCCAAAAAAGCUUAACCACUGCCACGCCAUGUUCCUAACCAGUGCGCUUAUGAGAGGCAUUCACACCCACCCCCCCUGAACAUCCGCAUUUUGAAUAUGUUCAGGGGGUGAAUGCGACAGCGUUGCAACGGUUAUGCCAAAAUCAUAGGCAAAAGCAAGAAGUCGACCUUUUGUAACUUUCAUAUUCUGUGGUGCAAUUCUAAUUUAAGAGUUGCGUACGUGACUGCAGUCAAACGAGAAUGAGAGUUAGCAGUCACGCAUUGUUACUGGGGACAUUUCAAGUUCUAGAUUAACAAAAUAAAGGUUUGUUGAAUGUUCCAACUACGUUUUGACUUAAAUCAAAUACAUGAUAUGGCCAGCUAACCAAUGUCACGUGACUCCUGCACUCUCGUUUGACCCAGGCCCCGGUUACACUAUACCGGAUUGCAUCGGAGCGUCGCGAUUUUCAUACCGGAUUCGGAGUUUACACUACGCCACAAUAAUCCGGUACGCGACGCGGCGUAAAAAUCACUCGGCUUUGGAGGUGAUAUGAAAAGUAAUCCGGUAUCUGCCGAAGUAGUGUAAAGGCUAGUUUCCGCUCUGGAAAAUUAUCCGUGGAUUGGAACGGACAAGAAAAUUGUUCUUUGUGUUAGAGUCAUUAGUUCCAACCCAGAGCUCACAAGACAAAGAAAAAUUUACUUGUCCGUUCCAAUCCAUGGAUAAUUUUCCCGAGUGGAAAUUAGCCUUUAAGCAGGCCAAUCCGGUACGCUUCGGUACGUUUUAGAGCGAAACGAAGCAACGUCUGGUAGUCAAGCUUUUUAAACAAAGUUAUACUUUACAAGAAAACGUGUGUUACUUCUUGUUUUUAAUAAAUUUUAGUAUACUGGCAAAAAAAUAUUGCUUGUUUCCAUGGCGACAGCGGGACAUGAGCUGGCAACAGAGCGAAGCGGCAUGCAUGGUGUAAACACCUUUGUUUUUUAUUUCGGAGUGAAAAUUAAUCCGGUAUGAAAAGUAAUCCGGUAUAGUGUAAAUGGGGCCUUAAAGAUGGAUCCGACUGAAUGAAUGAUAUAACUAAAAUUCCAUGUGUCAGAACAAAUUAGUUAGAAAAAUAUGUAUAUAUUUCAAGAUCGUUCGCCGCUGAUAUACACAUUCCAAAAUCUGAAAGACCUAGCUUGUGAUUGGAAAAUUAUCCCGAAAUUCCAUUGUCUGUAUGAACAACGUAAUCAUAAUUGCUCCCUUGUAUUGUAGUUAGUUUUUCUUAUAAUUAUGUAAUUUUGUAGUUGAACUCGGUAAUUCAGCUUAUGCUGCAGUUUUUAUACCACUGAAAACUUUAUAACAAAUUGCAAAUUACAAUUUACACGCUGUUGUUAGUUACAUACACUAUUGACUAGAAAUUGAUAAAUAUAACAAGAUAAUAAUUUAAAUUUGAUUAAUGAAUAAUGAUUAUUUUACAACAAUGUAUGAAGAAAAUUUAGAAGUAAAGCAAAAAAGGAAGUAAUCGCAAUUGCCUAUCUUUUUCCUGUCGCAGUGAAAUAACUGGAACGCUACCACCAGUCAAAGGCCAGUCCCAGUCUUUUCACGCAUGCGAAGAGCACAGUACAACCGUCAACAUGAAUAUGUAUUCUUGAAAACCGGCUUAAAUUUACAAAAAAAGCUUUUU